GGUUGUGGCUCAGUGGUAGAGCGCUUGCCUAGCAUGCAUGAGGCACUGGGUUCAAUCCUCAGCACCA
rnacentral:tRNA from 2 species